rnacentral:rRNA from 1 species
GACCCAGACUCCUACGGGAGGCAGCAGUGGGGAAUAUUGCACAGUGGGGGAAACCCUGAUGCAGCGACGCCGCGUGAGCGAUGAAGUAUUUCGGUAUGUAAAGCUCUAUCAGCAGGGAAGAAGAUGACGGUACCUGUCGAAUAAGCCACGGCUAACUACGUGCCAGCAGCCGCGGUAAUACGUAGGUGGCAAGCGUUGUCCGGAUUUACUGGGUGUAAAGGGCGUGUAGCCGGGCUGACAAGUCAGAUGUGAAAUCCGGGGGCUCAACCCCCGAACUGCAUUUGAAACUGUUGGUCUUGAGUAUCGGAGAGGCAGGCGGAAUUCCUAGUGUAGCGGUGAAAUGCGUAGAUAUUAGGAGGAACACCAGUGGCGAAGGCGGCCUGCUGGACGACAACUGACGGUGAGGCGCGAAAGCGUGGGGAGCAAACAGGAUUAGAUACCCGCGUAACA